CUGCAUCACCAACAACAAAGUCCUCAGCUCCCUCUUUAGAGGUAAAAAAAAAAUCUAUCUUAGUUUAUUUGCCAGCUGGUAACAGAGUUGGCUCCUCAAAGCUCCUUGGACGCUUGCCAAGAGUCAUAGUCCUUCCUCCACUUUCGUUUUUGCACUUCCUUUUUCCAAGUCCCAAAUCAAAUCCCUGUUGCUGUUAACUUAGAAGGUUUUCCAGAAAGAUAUAUUCUGACCAAUUGCAGUCUUAUAGUUGAACCUAGAUUGUAAUCCACGUUAAGAUUUAUUCUUGCCUUUUUAGUAAUAGUAGCAGGAUUUUUUUCCCUUGGAUUGAAAAAGAAAUCUACCUUAACCUCUCAAGAGAUUAGGGAACCUCUCCAGGCAGCUCCAUGUCUUCCUCAGGAUCUUCUGCCUUGAUUGGAUAUAAUCCAUCAUAAUGGACAUGAGGGAAGAUCUUUACAAAGCAUUGAAUGAACUGGUUGAAGAGCAAUUUGAAGAAUUUAAAUGGAAGCUAAAACAUAUUGAUUGCAAUAGAAAGGAAAACAUUCCGAAAGCUUCAUUGAAGAAAGCUAAUCGACAAGAAGUUGUGGAUCUCAUGAUUCAAUAUUAUGAAGAAGAUGCUCUAAAGGUGUGCAUUCAUGUUCUUCGAAAAAGUAAUAUAAAUGAUGUUGCUAAAAAACUUGAAGAAGCUCUACAGGAAGAUAUAAUUUUCUGUGUUGAAAUUCCCUUUUUCCUGGAGGAGCAGAAUGUCAGAACCUCGCAAUUAACUGCGUGGACUAUUUGUAAUUGCUAGCUUGCUCAGUUCUGCCAUAGUUGUAGUGGCGGGGCAGGGGGGGUUUUUGAAACCAAUUAGGUGCAUAACGGUUAGUGCAGAUGGUUUGGGCUUAUCUAGUCUUUAGGAACCUCAAGGUCAUACUGGCAUGAGAGCAGAGAAAGGGUCCAGAAAGAAUGAGGGGUAAGGGGGGGGCAAGUAGAAGGGCUAAGAAAGCAUUGCUUUGCGUGGGCUUUUCAGUUUCAGCAAUUCAUUGCUACGGACUGUAUGUUAAUCAUCAAUAAACUGACUUUCUUUUAGACUUGCUGAGUCUUUGGAGAAUGGUUCUUUUUAUUGGGAUUUAAAAGCUGCAGUGCCUGACAAUCAGUAUGGGAGAAGUGCAGCUAAAUGCAAUGCUGGAUUGCUCUAAGACAGUGUUUCUUAAACUUUUUUCUCUCAGGACCACUUCCCACUUUUAAAAAUUAUGGAGGAUUCCCAAAAGAACUGUUGUUUAUAUGGCUUAUGUUUAUCAAUACUUACCAUAUUAAAAAUUAAAAUAAAUGUAUUCACUGCCACUACUGCUUAUCACAAUUGUUUGAUGGGGUUUUAAUAUUGUAUUGUUUUUCAAUAUAGAAGGUCUUUUGGAUGCUGAAAGAAAAUGUGAUUUUAAUUCUUCUGAAGACUGUGGCCUUUUAGUUUCUCUUCCUAGGGGCAGAAACAGGCCAGUCUCCUCUCUGUAUUUCUUUAGAGGAUUAGACAAAGUUUUGCUGUUUAGAAAUUCUUUCCUUCCUUUACAUUCGUUUGCAUUUUUGGAACUUUUAUCUGAAUAUGAAACCCAUCUAAGAAUUAUGAGCCUUCACUGGACACAGAGAGGUGAUAUUGUCCAUUAUGCUUAAAUAUUUGGAAUGCUUAAAUAUUUGUAAUGAUAGGUGGAAAUGACCUUGGGAGAGAGGGCAACGAGGCACAGCCAAGGGAAUGGUCAGGUAAAAGCAUUCCCCGCAACAGGAAUACGGGUGGGGCAAGAGGCUCAGAAGAGACCCUCCCUAGUUUCUUGGGCUCUAAAGGAGA